rnacentral:lncRNA from 1 species
UGCCCUGUGCUGGGUGAAUCAAUAGCCACUUACCAAGGCACAGCCUAAGGCCCCCAGCAACUCCUGUGGGGAAUAUUUACAGCUGGCAGCAGGAAGGUCCAGCUCAGAGCAAGCUCCUGCAGGUACCAUUUCCGUGACAAUUUACCUUUGAACAUUGGCCCUGCUGUAGGAAAGGGGAGUUUAGGAAUAUUCUAUUUUGCUUUAGGAAAGCAGGACCCAAAAAAGGCAGUUUCCAGAAGGGAUUAAAAAUUUGAAUCCUGAAUCCAAUAGCUGAUAGGGAAAUCUGUUUUAGAGCAAUGAAACCCACUCAGACCCAUCCCAUACCUCUAAUUGCUAAUUGGCCAGUGGUAAUCUGCACUCUUGGGGUAUGUGAUAGAGAAUCCAGGAAAUGAAGAAAUGGCAGGAAUUUGACCUUUCAGCAGAAAAUUCUGCAGAAAAACAUAUUCUCAAGUAAGUUUAUAUUUCCAGAUUUCCAGAGAAGUAAACAUUCUCCAAAGGUACUCUAACGAGCAGA